rnacentral:rRNA from 1 species
GACGAACGCUGGCGGCGUGCUUAACACAUGCAAGUCGAACGGAAAGACCCUGCUUGCGGGGUACUCGAGUGGCGAACGGGUGGGUAACUCGUGGGUGAUCAGCCUUGCACUUCGGGUUAAGCCUGUUAAACUGGGUCUAAUACCUGAUAGGAGCCAUUUUUAGUGUGAUGGUUGGAAAGUUUUUUCGGUUUAGGAUGAGCUCGCGACCUGUCAGCUUGUUGGUGUGGUAAUGGCCUACCAAGGCGGCGACGGGUAGCCGGCCUGAGAGGGUGGCCUGCCAUACUGGGACCGAGAGGAGGCAGAGACUCCUACGCGAGGCAGAAGGGGGGAAUCUUGCCGGAUGGGCGCAGGCCUGAUGAAGAGAGGCUGCGGGGGGGAUGACGGUCUUCGGGUGGAAAACUCAUUUCGUUAGGGACGAUGCUUUUCGUGACGGUACCUAGAUAAGAAGCCCCGGCUAACUACGUG